UUGGAUGAUUCCUACAUAAGGUAAAUGAUUUAAUUUCUAAGUUAUGUAAUAACUAGUUAUGUUCUUUUAUCAUCAUCAUCAUCAUCAUUACUACUACUACACUCCUAGAAAAAAAAGCUCUUUAUGACGGGUAUUACCUGUCAUCUUCCCCAUGGCAUGACGGUUGAGCAACCGUCAUUAAUUCCAGUGUCAAGUAAAAAGUAUGACAAUUUUUAUAUGUCAUGUUAGGCAUGACGUAUUAUCCAUCACGAUUUUGUCAUUGUUAGUUUGAUGAAAAAUUUUCGCGCAUGAUUAAUAUCUGUCAUAAACGUUUCCCAUUCAUAACUAUUGUCUGUCAUAUAAACAUGAUACAUUUAAUUAAAAUAAUUAAAUAAUUAAAUUAUUUUAAUUAAAUAUUAAUUCCUUAAAUUCGACGGUAAAUGAAAUAUAUUUUAAUUAUUUGGUAGGAAAUAAUGAAAUUGGUGCCAAUUUUUUUAUAUUAUUUUUUGGCAAAAAUUAAAAUAUAUCCUUUAAAUUAUUAUAUAAAUAGAAAAAUCUUUAUAUAUAUGUAUGUGUGUGUAUGUGUAUAUAUAUAUAUAUAUAUAUAUAUAAUUCAUAUACAAUUUCUCAAAUCUAUCCACAAGUUUCAUAGAUUAUAAUCAUGUUAUGAAAUAAAAUAACUACAACAAUUAUAGUUAAAUAAAUGCUUCAUCAAUUCUUAAUUUGUUUUCCAAAAUAACGAUUACAAUUUCUUAUUCUUUUUCAUACAAAACCACAGAGGAAGAUUAUAACUUACAAGGACAACUAGCCAACAACUGUAUGUGCUACUUAGGGUGCUAUGUGAAUUGAUUUUGAAAGUUGAAAGGCCAAGACGAAAAUUUCUAGAUUCAGAUGCAAAGGAAGGCCAUUGAUCCUCCACUAACUUCCAAGCUGGAGAGUCAGCUGGAUGACAAAGCUUGCCGCCAACUUCUCUUUCAUUUGUAUGCUAAGUUAAGUCCUUGGCAGUUUGUGGUGAUUGGAACAGCUGUUUAAACCUAGGAAUCAGUGGGAAAUACCAUAAAACUUUUGCGGGAACCUCUUUUCUAUUUUUUUCUUUAGAACCAUCUUUUUUCUGCCACUGUGAUACUCUACAGGUAGGACAUUCAGAAAGGUUCUCAUAUUCCUUUCUAUAUAGUAUGCAAUCAUUUGAACAAGUACGUAUUUUUUCAUACCUCAAGCCCAAGGCAAACAUAGUUUUUUUUGCCUCAUAUGUACACCUAGGCAAUGUAUUGUUCUCUGGUAACAUGUUAACAAGGAAACUUAAUAAAUAUGAAAAGCUAGUAUCAGACAAACCAUAUUUCCCCUUCAAAUUGUAUAACUUAACCAAUGCACCUAACCUAGUAUAUUUUUGCGAACUCGGGUACAAAAGUUUCUCGGCAUCUUCUAAUAAGGAUUUAAAGUCCUUAGGAUCGUUAUCAAAAUGCUUGUAAGCAUCAUGAAUCAUGUUUACAGCCUCACCCUGAAUAAGGUACAUGUUUUGUGGGUCAACUUGAUCACUUAAAUCAAUUUUUGUCAUGUCAGGUUCGGUUUCCCCAUGCCAACUCCAAAUAGUAUAACUCUCAUCAAAACCCAUAAAAAUAAAUGGUCUCUAACUGUCUUAGAAUUGUAAAAUGCAAGCUUUUUACAUUUGAUGCAAGAACACCUUAUAAAAUCACCAUUAUCAAAAUUUUCAAUUGCAAAAUCCAUGAACAUAUCCACACCAACAAUAUAUUCCGCAGACAAUCUAUCACAUGUUAUCCAAGACUUUUCCAUUUUAUAAACAAAAAAACAACUCCUGAUACAAAAAUAAAAAUGUAAUAAAAUAUUAAAAAAAAAUGACAAAUUACAUGCAAAAUCUUAUCCUUUUUUAAAGUUCCAGGACAAAUACUAUAAAAACAGUAGCCAAUAGUUUAUGAAUGACUUAAAUUACAAUAAAGCCAGCCCUAUCAACACUCAUUAUUAUCAUAGAAUAAAACACCAGUCUAAAAUUUUUAUUUACAUCAAUAUAACAAAACCAAAUAUGCUACUGGUCAUGUUAUGUGUUUAAUUACAUAUGAUCAAUAUUUAAUUUUGGCUACUAAUCAUGUACAUAUUUAAUUGCAUAUGAUCAAAUUUAAUUUUACAUGCACAAAAACAAAAUAGACUUUACUUUCAUUAGUUUAAUGAAAUAGGCAGUGUUGUGCAAAGGAAAUGAAAUAAAAACUAGACAUUUAGUACUUAAGCAACCGAAAAAGUAGUAUUAUAUAUUUCCAGAAAAACAGUCAUAUAUCUAUUUACCUACUUGAUUAUGCAGCUUAAAUGCCUUUCUUUAUCAGAGUAUUUUACGACCACUUGUCUCUAAUCUAAAGAAUAUAGUAUAUUAAUGCUUUUUGCUCAGCUCAAUAUUAAUUGUUUUUCUUUUUUAACUUUAUAGUAUAAAAAUCGAAAACACAUAAGUAUCAAACAAUUUAGGGGAUCCAUGUGUGUAAAAAAUGCAGCACAUAAAGGCCCUCAUUGUGCCUUUAACUAUUUGAAAAAAUAGCCAUGAUCACAAACACAAUAAACAAACAAGGUCCACAAUCUGUAGAAAAGAAAAAUAUAUGCUCGGGGACCACAAACAAAACUAUUGUAAUAAAGAAUAUAUACCAACCUUUUUCUUUAUCACACCAUCAAAUACACAAAGAGACAACUCAAUAAACUUUUGCGUAGCCUAAUGCACAUAAAGACAAUCCAAAGCUUUACACACAAUCCUUGCAAAAUUAGAAUCACAUGCAAUUCAGAGCUUAACACACAAUCCAUGUGAAGUCAAUUUAAUAUUCAUAAUGAUUACAAAUGGUCUUUACAAAGUCAAAAACAAGUAAACAACAAUUAAAUUAAUUACUUAAAUCAUCCCAAUUAGACAUGCAAAUUAGAAUCACAACCACAAUUUCACAUGCAACACUUAAAAUCAUUUAAAUUUGAAAUGCAAGAACAUGAAUGUACUCGCAUUACAUCAUAACACCAAAAUGAACAAGCUAUCUUCAAAGCUCAUAUCAAUUUAGAUAUUAAUCAACCACAACAACCAUAACCAUAAUUAUUACAUAAUUGCACCAUUUUCUUUAAGACCAAAGAAAUAUAGAGACAAUACCACCCAUAGAGUCAAAGGAUGCAAACCUCAAGGUAUUUUAAUUUCACUCAUGUAGCAACAUAAACCAAAAGCUUCUUUUGUGAUAAUAGUGGCCUCAACUCUAUGGCCACAUCUGUAACUGUAACAAGUACAUAAGAAGUAUUAGAACUUGAAAAUUUAAAUAAAAAAAGAAAAUUAGAAAAAGAACCAGGACCACUACCAAACAUUAAAAAUAAUUAUUUAAGGAACCACUGGAUCUAUAUAUAUUUCAUGGCUAAAAUUUAAUUAGGUUCCAUUAGAAUAACACCGCAUCUAAAACCAUCACAUGCAUUACCACUUAAAAUCAACCAGGGAUUUAACAUUGCAUAUUAAAAAUUGAGUGAGGCUUUUGAUUAACUUACUUUUUCUCCUUUUUCUCUUUCUUCUCUAAUAACAGUUGGUCACGGCUAAUGAGUGUCAGUGCUAAAGGCUUGGCAGUUGGAGAGCUUCUGUAAAUUCGUAAUGGGUGCUGUGAUGUGCUUCAUUCAAUUGAUUUUCUUUAGUUGGGUGAUUAGGUUUUCAUCAAUUGAGUGAAAAAUAGGGCGUAGCAGUGCGCGAUGCUUCUUCUGUGCUUGAGAAGGGGGAGAACGAAAAAGAAAAAGGGGCUACAAUCGUUACAAAGCAAAACGAUGGCAUUUUGCUUUUCUUUUUAGUUUAAAUUAUUCAAUUAAAA
rnacentral:lncRNA from 1 species